rnacentral:lncRNA from 1 species
CAGGUGUCACCCAACGGAGAAGGUACUUGAGUACAAGAAACAGUUUGGCAAUAAGGAAUUCACUCGAAAGGUAAGUUUCCAAGAAAUUCCCUUUUAUCUUCUACUAAAACAAGAAAAUUCAAAAAAAGAGGUCAGUUGGUAUCCUCGAACUUUGUCCCCAGCCAGUCAGCAUUAGGGUUUUAAACCUUAAACUGAACUCUUUCCUUUAGUCAGCAUUAGGGUUUAAACCCUAAACUGAACUUUUCCAUUCAGUCAGCAUUAGGGUUUUAAACCCUAAACUGAACUUUUUCUUUAGUCAGCAUUAGGGUUUUAAACCCUAAACUGAACUCUUUCCUUUAGUCACCAUUAGGGUUU